UUCUAGGUUGUGUAUGUUUUGGUUGUUCUAAGACAGAGAAAGGGAGAGAAAGAGAGAGGGAUGAAGGGAGAUAAAGAGAGUUUGAAUAGUUGGGGGGGGGGGGGGUGUUAAUGGUCCAGUAGUAAGGUUCUCAGACUCUCAACCGUUAAGUGAUUGGCUCGAAUCUUGUUAAGGGCUUGACGUUGUGUUCUUGGAAAGGGCACUUUACACAUACAAACUUUCCUCUCUUCACCCAGGUGGUAAUGGAUACGCAGCUAUAGACAGUGAUAGAUGUUGUCGGUUGGUUAAUGUUUACGUGGGUAUAAUCCCCAGCGUGCACUGUAUCAGGGUUGCCAGUUUCUAAAGCUGAAAUCCGGCUUUUUAAAAUCCUCCGGCUUUCGCGGCUUUUAUUGAGAAAAAAAUUUCCUGCCUCAUCGGCAAAUUGUGACCCGACACCGGCUAGGCCGGAAGGAAGACCAGAACGGGUUGUUGAACUCUAGUGCAUUUCCAGUUGGGUCUGGGCAUUAUUUGUUUUUAAAGUAAAAACGAAUAAAUAGGUGCCUAGUAUAUAAAAAAUGAGAAUAAACAAAAGAAAAAGAGUCAUAAACUAGGUGCCUAGUAUAUAAAAAAUGAGAAUAAACAAAAGAAAAAGAGUCAUAAACUAGGUGCCUAGUAUAUAAAAAAUGAGAAUAAACAAAAGAAAAAGAGUCAUAAACUAGGUGCCUAGUAUAUAAAAAAUGAGAAUAAACAAAAGAAAAAGAGUCAUAAACUAGGUGCCUAGUAUAUAAAAAAUGAGAAUAAACAAAAGAAAAAGAGUCAUAAACUAGGUGCCUAGUAUAUAAAAAAUGAGAAUAAACAAAAGAAAAAGAGUCAUAAACUAGGUGCCUAGUAUAUAAAAAAUGAGAAUAAACAAAAGAAAAAGAGUCAUAAACUAGGUGCCUAGUAU